CCCGCCCGCAAAGGCGGGCGCAAAACAGCGAGACUUCGGGACUAAACAAGCCGCCUUCGCACAGCAGCACCGGGGCAAGCGAGGCUGAGCCUCCCUUCUUUACCGAGCAUGGGGCAGGGCUGGUGAACGACAAUACUGGACUAACAGACUUAUCCGUGCUUAGUUGUUGUUUUUUUUUUCUCUCCAAAAGACACCGCAGGAUCCUGUAAUAAGACAUGCAAAUACUCCCAGAUCCCUGUCUGAUUUAGCGUGGGGGAUCAACCUGCUCUGGUGAUGAAUCAGGCUUAUGCAGUGAAGGAAGCUGUUUAUGAACUCCCUGCCUCAUUUGUUGCACAAGUUGGAAGCUAUGUCAUGAAUGAGGCAGGGACCUGCAAGAAGAGAAAAUACCGUUUCAUGGUGAAUGGUGUUCUGGAGAACUGGAUUUUAUCCCUGACUCCAGCACAGAGUUCCUGUAUGGUCCUAGGCAAGUCAAUUAAACCAAAUUUUUCAGA